rnacentral:rRNA from 1 species
UACGUAGGGUGCGAGCGUUGUCCGGAAUUAUUGGGCGUAAAGAGCUUGUAGGCGGUCUGUCGCGUCUGCUGUGAAAAUCCGGGGCUCAACCCCGGACUUGCAGUGGGUACGGGCAGACUAGAGUGUGGUAGGGGAGACUGGAAUUUCUGGUGUAGCGGUGAAAUGCGCAGAUAUCAGGAGGAACACCGAUGGCGAAGGCAGGUCUCUGG